rnacentral:rRNA from 1 species
CUAGGAUGAACGCUAGCGGCAGGCUUAACACAUGCAAGUCGAGGGGCAUCGGGAGUAGCAAUACUUGCCGGCGACCGGCGCAAGGGUGCGUAACGCGUGAGCAACAUGCCCGUAUCAGGGGGAUAAUCCAUGGAAACGUGGUCUAAUACCCCAUAGUAAUUAUGUAAGGCAUCUUAUAUAAUUUAAAGCUUUGGUGGAUACGGAUUGGCUCGCGUGACAUUAGCUGGAUGGUAAGGUAACGGCUUACCAUGGCUACGAUGUCUAGGGGUUCUGAGAGGAAGGUCCCCCCACACUGGAACUGAGACACGGUCCAGACUCCUACGGGAGGCAGCAGUGAGGAAUAUUGGACAAUGGAUGGAAAUCUGAUCCAGCCAUGCCGCGUGCAGGAAAGACGGCCCUAUGGGUUGUAAACUGCUUUUGUAUGGGAGCAAUAAGGGCUACGUGUAGUCCGAUGAGAGUACCAUACGAAUAAGCACCGGCUAACUCCGUGCCAGCAGCCGC